rnacentral:misc_RNA from 1 species
CUUGAGGAUUAUAGCUGCACCAGUAGAAUGUCCAAAGCAAAAGCACGGAAGUCCAGGAUUUUCAGCUAAAAUCUUUGACAGAAAUUGUUUCAUGUCAUUGACAGCAUCAUCAAGAGAAGGGACAUAUGCAUGCAGUCCAUCACUUCCACCAUGUCUUAUGCGAAGAAGCUUCACAUGUAACAUUUUCGCACCAAAGGCUGCUGAUUGGAGGAAAUUCAACCCCAAUCCAAUCCAUUCCAUAAACCUUGAAGCCAUUUGCAUUUAGCUUCUUGGCAAAAUCAUUGUAUCGGCCACUGUGUUCAUUGAGG